ensembl:lncRNA
CGUAGACCUCCAGAACUGGUACACAGAAUGAGCAGUAGUACUGGGGGGAUCCGUGACGCACACCUACUCAUUCCAGGGUUUUUCAUAAUUUUUACUCUUUUCUACAUUGUAGAAUAAUAUUGAAGACAUCAAAACUAUGAAAUAACACACAUGGAAUCAUGUAGUAACCAAAAAUAUACAAUUCUUCAAAGUUACCACCGUUUGCCUUGAUGACAGCUUUGCACACUCUUGGGAAAGAAAAACCCUUGACUGAGUAGGUGGCCAAGUUUGGAGUCAGUUUGUGAACACCAAGAAAGCAGCGGAUUGCUCUGUUUUCAAACAUUGUUACAAUUAGUACGCACUUUGGAUCCCCAUACGCCAGCACCAUAGUCCAUCACUGGACACGCACAAGAUUUAUACAACUGAGAAUAAGCACAGUAACCAAGAUCCUUACAGUACCUAUUUUUAUUUUGUUUAACACUGACCCGAAGGCUCUACCUGCAGAAUCUGCCAGUGAUCUAAUGCCAUCUUCAAAGGUCAUGUGUUCAUCCAGAGUGAAACCAAGAGAUCCCCCUGACUGACUGAGCUUUUGGAUCACACACGUCUGCCAAGAUGUUGAAGAAUUCCUAGGUCACAGACCAGAUGAUCACUGGCCAAGGAGGCUCUAUGGAUGUACCAAGGUGCCUGAUCAGUCUAUUAUGAGAUGAACAACCCCAAGACAAACCAAAACACAUUGAAUCGACUACAACACGUUUUUGUCAUCAAAACAAGAACAUCUUGUUUCAAGUGAUCAGACGUUUCAGAAGAGAUUACGGCAAGGCCUAAAACAAUGAACAUUCGGAUGAAUGUUCAGUCUCAUUGAAUAUUGAACUAUGCAGAUGAGCCGGAGUCUCAAGAGGAGAGCUGUGUCUUUUAUACACAAUGGCAGCUCUCUGAAAUAUAGCCAAUCAGAGGUGACCAUCAACACAAGAACAUUGGAAUCGCCCUGAGGAUGGGGAGGACGACUAAAUGGACAGCUCUAGGGUCUAGUACCAUGUCACACAGAAGAGAAAGAACAUCUCCACAACAAUAAAUUGUCUGAGAUUGAACCACAUCUGCAAGAAAUGUAUAAACUUGUAUUUCUCUCCUAACUUGGUCCUCUUCAUUAUGUUAGUCCAUAAAGGGUAUGUCUUUAACAAUGUACAAAACAUUCUCAAUGUGAAUAAAUGCCUUUGUACCUGUAUUUGUCUUUCACCCCAUCUAUUGAGUUGUUCACACUUUAAACAAACUGUUAUUAUCCUUUAUGGUGUUUUAUAAGGUUUAAACAAACUGUUAUUAUCCUUUAUGGUGUUUUAUAAGGUUUAUAAUACUUUACGUCUCUGUAUAUUCAGAAUUUGCGACUUUAAGUCAGAUGUUACCAUAUUAUUGUAUGUCUCCAUGUUGGACUCUAUCCUGUCUUUAUGUGUCCUAAUGUCUCUGUACCAAGUACUAGGUCUCAGCCAUGUCUUUGCCAGAAAGGUGCUUCUCC